UAAUCAUAGACUUCAUUCAUAUCAGGAUUGGAUUAAUUAUACAGCCCUGCUUUUAAUUUAUUCAUCCGGAAUUUGGCAAAUUCCCUGCAUUAUACUGUGAAUUCCAUUUUUAUGAUUGGCUUCCAUGAUUCCAUCCCUGUUUUCUGCAUCUUUGAAAUGAUAGAGCCGCAUAUAUAGAGAGGAGAGGUCACUGGAGUCAUACAGCAGCGUACGUGACCGGCUGCAGCUUUUAUUUUUAAAUUCAGAGGUAUAAAACACAUUCUUGAACCAAGGCCAGAUCAACCUUUAUACUUCCAAACAGAGAACAGGUGGCGCAUAUGAAACUGUGACAUUAAAGACAUAUAAACAGUACAUAACAAAAUAAAAUAUUUAUGUCACAUAAUCACACACAAACCAUUUCAGAUCAUCUAUUUGGCUUAAUUUCCCUUUUAAAAUCAUGUUCGUAAACUUUUAGCCCCUUAUUUACAGGAUAAUGGAAGAAGAGGUCACUCACAUAUUUCUGGCUAGCGAUACAUCCUACAUGCUUCCUUCAUGACAUCAUUCAUGAUGUCAUACUCUCCCAUUUUAUCUUCUCUUGCACCUGAGGCACACUUAAAGGUGUGAUGCGACUGUGUGUGUGUGGUUUUUGCCGCCCACUGCUCCUUUCACAUCCACACCCACACACACACAUUAUCAGCGUGCAGACAUGUGCAUGUGUGUCUGAAAGCCAGAUCCAUGUGAAACUGAUACUAGCAGUUCAUUUAUUUUUAAAACACUACAGUUAUUGGGAUGUUUCGUUAAAUGGAUAUAUGGAUAUUUAUAGCAAUGCCAAGAUCAGAUUCUCUCCAGACGUUUUGGCUCAAGGUUUAAGCAAAUGCCCGACAGAUGCUCCCUUUUUAUUCACCUUUCAGUUCCUCCACCCUCUUUUUCUUUAUCUCUCCCUGUUUUAAAAGAGGAGACUCAGCUGAAUCUUUGAGGAAAAAGGAAAUCCGUCAGAUCUGAAUAUGGCACCCUGCCCUCCUCGCAGAAGCUCUGGCCUCUUCAAAGCCAGAGGAAGUAAAGGCCUUUUAAGGAGCAUCCUGCAGACUUCCUGCGGGGCCAAACCUGGCCCUGUACACCCUGAGCUGCCAGCAGAGAGCUGCGUUU
ensembl:lncRNA